ACAGUCAGAACCCACGUCCCAAGAGCCAUCUUCUUCAGCCGAGGAUCAGAACAGCAAGGUCCCCACCCUUAACUGCCACCAAUUGCACAAUGCACCGACCCCUUUGGCCCCUCCGACAGGUGGUGAGCCCAUUGGAAGAGGGACCCAUGUUUCCUCUUCGGGCUGUGGCCGACCGGGCUCCAUGGGUAAAAGCCCGGUCACCAGGUGCUUACCACCAUGUCCCACCUCCAGGCCUGGCUCCAGAGUGGGGCCCUGGUGACCCGCGUCCUGGCGAGGGAACAUGACGUCCAUUUAUUGUAUUCAUCAUAAGGGGGUUUUGGGCUGCUCUUUGUCUGGUCCCUCACCUAGGACCUGUCUGCCUUGGGUGACCUUACAAGGGGCCCCUGACAGCAUAGCUCCUAGGGUCAUUGGGACACUCAAACCCCUUAACUUAAUUAAAUACACUCACAUUACAGCCCUGGUAUUUCACCUGACAAGUGAGAGCAUGGACCAGUCCUGGACUUCUUCAUUAAUUGGUGCAAAACAACUAAUUAUGAAUACAACAAAAACAAAAGAAAUGCGUGCUGACCUUCAAUCAUUCACCAUCGCCUUAAUUGACAAAGAGGUAACUAAAGCUACAAAUAUCUGGGCAUAAUUUGGGACUGUCAUUUGAAAUGGGACUCUUGGGCUGUCUGUAUUCGUACCAAGACUCAGCAGAAACUGUACAAUUUAAAGAAAAUGGUCUUUUAGAGGCAAUGGUGCAAUGCUUUUAAUGUCUUAAACUGAGUGCAUUUUAACAAUUUGUAGUAUAUGUUAGUUAUGCAAUGCCACAGAGGUAUCAAUACCUUGUCGACUGGGAGGGCUGCGGUCCCAGUCGACAUGGGUGCCCGGCUCCUCCAUCCCUGAUCCAGCGAUGAUAGACUCUUUUUGGGCCUCUCGCCCCUCCACGUCCUCCUCGGGGCCGCCAGAUGGCGACCGUUGACAGGGGUGGAGGGGGGGGGGUUGUUGUCAGGAUUCUGCAGGCAGUGCUAUACAGCUCUCUGCCAGCACUGCCUGCUCUCUCCCUCUCUCUCUGCUCACAGGUGAUUGUAGGUGACAGGUGGGCGUGGUGCGCACCUGCAGCUCAUUCAGCGGCACCGUGCUGAGGCAUAAAGGCAGAGAGCGGACAGCAGGAAGACGCCAGAGUGUUAACCUUAAGUGGUUGCCUCACGCUUUGAAUUCCACUCUAAGCGUCCGCAUGUGUUUCCUACAUCUCAUGUCAAGCCUCUGUGUUCUCUCCGUUCUGGAUCCUGCUCUGGGACGUUACCCCCGUGCUCCCUUGGUGUUACUAAGUUGAGCUGAGGCCAUCUCCAGUCAACCCUGGUUCCUCCUGCUGCCAUCUGCUCCCUGCUUCGGUCCUGCUCGGAUUGCCUUGCUUCAUAUGCCCGCUCACCUGGCACUCAGUUACCUGGUUCCAUCUUAGUCGAAGGCUCAGCUGAAUCCCUCUCCAUGCCCCACUCCCCCCGGAUAGGUUUCCCAAGCCCGGCGAGUGAUCGGCUCCGUUCUGUUGUCGCUGUCAGGCACUCGAGCUGCAAGCCUAUCCUGCGUUCCUGUUCCC